rnacentral:lncRNA from 12 species
CUUUGUUUUGUGCUCAAGGUUUUAUAUAACCAAACUCUUUUAUUCUACAGCUUCUCUCAGAAAAGUGGAGAUGUGCAGAAGAGGCUGCAUGAAGCAUGAAGUGGACUUGUGGAAUUUGUUGGGACACCAGUUCCACCAUUAGAAGAAAAAAACUGAAAGUAAUUUUGGUGGUUUAAAUCAGCUUUUUCUUGCUGGUUUCACUGAGAAUUUUGUCCUUUCGUGUUUGAGAUACCCUAAUUUUUGCCCUAUCACCCAGUUGAGUUAUACAGUAACCCCUUCAAAGCAGAACCAUCCAUAGCUUGAUACUAAUAACAGAACAUCGAAAUGACUACAUUUCUGACAAGUGACAGAAGUUACUAUUGCCAGGAUGAAAUUACAGUGUUUUCUUUUGGGAAGAGGAUUGAGCAGCAGAGUGCAAAGGAUGAGAAAGAAGCCAGAAUAUGUGAAAUGGAGGCCAGGCUGAGGGAGAUGGAAAAGGUUCAGCUGGUUAGCACAUGCACCAGGAGGCUCCAGGCACUGAAUGAUGCAAAACUGGAAAAAGCUGAGCUCCUGCAGGAUCUCCAGGCUGGCCAGAGGGACCUAGCUGGCCUUGCAGGUAGGGAGCCUCAGCUCAGCUCCCACAGCUGCUAAUUUGGG